UACGUAGGGUGCAAGCGUUGUCCGGAAUUAUUGGGCGUAAAGAGCUCGUAGGCGGUCUGUCGCGUCGGCUGUGAAAUCCCGGAGCUCAACUCCGGGUCUGCAGUCGAUACGGGCAAACUGGAGUACUGCAGGGGAGACUGGAAUUCCUGGUGUAGCGGUGAAAUGCGCAGAUAUCAGGAGGAACACCGGUGGCGAAGGCGGGUCUCUGGGCCGAUACUGACACUGAGAGACGAAAGCUAGGGGAGCGAAUGGG
rnacentral:rRNA from 1 species